rnacentral:rRNA from 1 species
UGGGGAAUCUUCCGCAAUGGACGAAAGUCUGACGGAGCAACGCCGCGUGAGUGAAGAAGGUUUUCGGAUCGUAAAACUCUGUCUUUUGGGGCGAACGUGAGUAUGGUGAACAAUCAUAGUCAGUGACGGUACCAAAGGAGGAAGCCACGGCUAACUACGUGCCAGCAGCCGCGGUAAUACGUAGGUGGCAAGCGUUGUCCGGAAUUAUUGGGCGUAAAGAGCGCGUAGGCGGGAUAGUCAGUCUGUUGUAAAGUGCGGGGCUCAACCCCGUGAUGGCAAUGGAACAGCUAUUCUUGAGUGCAGGAGAGGAAAGUGGAAUUCCCAGUGUAGCGGUGAAAUGCGUAGAUAUUGGGAGGAACACCAGUGGCGAAGGCGACUUUCUGGACUGUGUCUGACGCUGAGGCGCGAAAGCCAGGGGAGCGAACGGGAUUAGAUACCCCGGUAGUCCUGGCCGUAAACGAUGGGUACUAGGUGUGGGAGGUAUCGACCCCUUCCGUGCCGGAGUUAACGCAAUAAGUACCCCGCCUGGGGAGUACGGUCGCAAGACUGAAACUCAAAUGAAUUGACGGGGUCAUAGCUGUUUCCUG